rnacentral:rRNA from 1 species
AGAGUUUGAUCAUGGCUCAGGACGAACGCUGGCGGCGUGCUUAACACAUGCAAGUCGAACGGAAAGGCCCUUCGGGGUACUCGAGUGGCGAACGGGUGAGUAACACGUGGGUGAUCUGCCCUGCACUCUGGGAUAAGCCUGGGAAACUGGGUCUAAUACCGAAUAGGACCGCGCUCUUCAUGGGGUGUGGUGGAAAGCUUUUGCGGUGUGGGAUGGGCCCGCGGCCUAUCAGCUUGUUGGUGGGGUAAUGGCCUACCAAGGCGACGACGGGUAGCCGGCCUGAGAGGGUGACCGGCCACACUGGGACUGAGAUACGGCCCAGACUCCUACGGGAGGCAGCAGUGGGGAAUAUUGCACAAUGGGCGCAAGCCUGAUGCAGCGACGCCGCGUGAGGGAUGACGGCCUUCGGGUUGUAAACCUCUUUCAGUAGGGACGAAGCGAAAGUGACGGUACCUACAGAAGAAGGACCGGCCAACUACGUGCCAGCAGCCGCGGUAAUACGUAGGGUCCGAGCGUUGUCCGGAAUUACUGGGCGUAAAGAGCUCGUAGGUGGUUUGUCGCGUUGUUCGUGAAAACUCACAGCUUAACUGUGGGCGUGCGGGCGAUACGGGCAGACUAGAGUACUGCAGGGGAGACUGGAAUUCCUGGUGUAGCGGUGGAAUGCGCAGAUAUCAGGAGGAACACCGGUGGCGAAGGCGGGUCUCUGGGCAGUAACUGACGCUGAGGAGCGAAAGCGUGGGUAGCGAACAGGAUUAGAUACCCUGGUAGUCCAA